CAUUUUCUGAUAAUAACCUUCACAAAUACUAUAAACUUUUCUUAUAAGAACAGUGAUCGGCCAGUUUGUAUAACAACAAUAUAUGCUAGAGUGACUCGAUUUGAACAAUUUGCAUUGUUGCCUUCAGAUCGACAUGUGAAAAACUGAGGGACAAGUUCGCGGAUAUACAGACAGACGGACAUUGGUUCUCUGACGUUUUCCUUUUGGGUGUUACAAACAUCGUGGCUAACGUAAUAUACUCUAUUCAGAGUAUAAAAAAAGUGGGAAAAGAGAGCGAUGUAUACUCGAAAUAUAAAAACAUGCGAUCCCUUUAUCAGACGAACUAAUAAAUUUUGCACACUACCACAGAUUAUUUGUAUUCCAUCCAAAAGUUUUACAGAGGCAGCUCCAAAAGCUCAAAAAAGUGUUAUAAUUAAGUGUUAUUAUUAAUACGUACCUUCGAUAGCAUAAUUGGUACAACAGUAUUGGUGUGCAAAGCCCGCAUCAACUCCUCUAAUUUAACUGUGGUGAUACGAGUAGAUUUGGGAGCAAAGCCAGCAUUAUUGAAUAACACAUUCAACCCGCCAUCUUUCACUACUUCACUAAUUUGACUUAUUAGGUUGCCAUAAUUAUUAAAAUUGAGCAAAUCUAAAACAAGGCAGAAACUGGUUUUACAACUUUUAUAACACAACCUUACAUAGUCUUCUCGACACUAAUGUGAGUACGCGUCAAUGUAUUACGUAUGUAGAUUGUCUUUUAUAUUUCGGGAUUCGAAGAAGAAAUGCAAAUUUUAAUCAUCGGUAAUCGAUUUAUUGUUUUUCAAAAUAUUCUCUAUUAUGAUUUAUACACUUUUGCAUGACUUUUGAACGCAUCAACCACUUCUUCAGGUAUCGAAAAACGUUGAUCUCUUAGUUUAUGUUUUUGCGAAGGGUAAUAAAAAAGUAGCGUUCGGUGUCACGUCAGGACUAUACGGAGGAUCACUCAUCAAAUCGAUGUUAUAAGUUGUCAAAAAUGCAGUUGUUUACGCGUAAUACGCGUAAAUCCACAGUACAACACCUGUCACGAUGUCAUAGACGUGUUUCGAAACACCGCUAUUGUAUUUUUUAUAACAUUUCUCUCGACCAAUUUGACAAAUUGUGUAUGAUUUAACGUGAACAAAUUGAAUUCACUAUACUAUCGAUAAAAUUUGAAUAAAGAUGAUUUAAGUGCUCUUGAUGAGUUAAUUAAUCCACGUCGAAAGUUGUAAAAAUAAUCGCGCGAAAAUGUUCGCGAUUUACAAGUAAUUCCAUUUUUAGGUCAUUAUUCUAAGUAAUAGCGCUCAUAUGUCAAGACUUUCUGAGUAUGCAUACCAUCAAAAAUGUCAAACUUAACGAUCAAAUUCUGAGUUUCCAGAUUGCAACACUAAUGUUGCCAAAUCCCGAAAUAUAAAAGGCAAUCUAUGUACGUAGUGACAUCGUGUAUAAAACUAGAGGCAAAAAUUAAGAGAUCUCUCAUUUUCACAUUGAACAUAAAUCAUUUUACUUAAACACCCAAAAUGAUAGAAUUAAGGAUUACGACAAUUUUUUCUGUUGUUUUUGGACGUGUUUGACAGAAUAAAUAAUAAAUAUAUAGAAAAA